UGAACAUACCUAUGCCUCGGCGGUGCCUGUUCCGACAGCCCGCCAGAGGACCCCAAACCCUGAUUACAUUUAAGAAGUCUUCUGAGUAAACCGAUUAAAUAAAUCAAAACUUUCAACAACGGAUCUCUUGGUUCUGGCAUCGAUGAAGAACGCAGCGAAAUGCGAUAAGUAAUGUGAAUUGCAGAAUUCAGUGAAUCAUCGAAUCUUUGAACGCACAUUGCGCCCGCUAGUAUUCUGGCGGGCAUGCCUGUCCGAGCGUCAUUUCAACCCUCAAGCCCCCGGGCUUGGUGUUGGGGAUCGGCGAGCCUCCGCGCCCGCCGUCCCCUAAAUCUAGUGGCGGUCUCGCUGUAGCUUCCUCUGCGUAGUAGCACACCUCGCACUGGGAAACAGCGCGGCCACGCCGUUAAACCCCCAACUUCUGAACGUUUGACCUCGGAUCAGGUAGGAAUACCCGCUGAACUUAAGCAUAUCAAU
rnacentral:rRNA from 1 species